ACAAGUUAAAAUCUCUAUAGUGCAGAUCCUGUUUAUAGAAAAAGUAGGGCUCAUACAAACACACUCCAACACUAAAACUUAAACACAGUCUCAGAGAUCAUUCAUGUUCUUCUCUCUCUGCAGGCUGAGUUACUGCAGUAUUGAAGAGGAAGGCUGUGCUGCUCUGAUUUCAGCUCUGAGAUCAAACCCCUCACACCUGACAGAACUGAAUCUGAGAGGUAAUAAACCAAGAGACUCAGGAGUGAAGCUGCUCUCUGCUCUACUGGAGGAUCCACACUGUAAACUGAAGAAACUACAUAUUUGACAGUGGAAACUCCACGAGCUCCAAACAACUGAAUCAAAACAACACGUCUUGAACAAGACUGUCACCUGGACAUUAACCCCCUGGGGUCGAAGAAUCAGUGCGGUCUGUGUAAUAUUUUCUUGAUGACCGCGAACAGAACUAAAAAUACUUUGAUCAUUUUUGAUCAUACAGAUAAGAAUAAGGUAUUGUUUUAAACUGGACAUGGUGUACUUUUAUAUUACCGGUGCUGUCUGUCAGGUAUUUUAUAGAUGGAUUGUGUAUAAAUGUUAUGUUUAAAUAUAACAUUUUAAUAUAGAAAUAUUUAAUGAUUGCAAAAAUGAAAUAAGAUACUUUUUGUAAUGUGGUGUUUGGGUUUUGUUUCAUGUUCUUUUUUUCAUGUCUCUUAUUUUGUAGUUUGUUUCUUGCUGUGUGUCAUACUUCUCUUCCCCUCAUGUAUCUCUGCCUUGUGGAUGUGUCGUGUUCUGAUUGGUUUAUUGUCUUAUCAUGUGAUUAUCUGUUUGCUCAUUAGUUUGUUCAUGUCAUGUGACCCUCAUUGUCUGUUAUAAGUACUCAUGUUUUUGCCACUGUCCCUUGUCAUGUAUUAAUGUUGUAACCUGCUGUCGGUGAGUCUACUCUGUUCAUGCCUCGUCAAUCAAGUCUAGUCAAGUCUGUUCAAGUCAAGUCUUUGUUUAUUGUUUGUUUAUUGUUUGGAUUUUGGAUCACUCUGUAAAUAAACAGCACUUGGGUUCUC